rnacentral:rRNA from 1 species
UACGGAGGGGGCUAGCGUUGUUCGGAAUUACUGGGCGUAAAGCGCACGUAGGCGGCUUUGUAAGUUAGAGGUGAAAGCCCGGAGCUCAACUCCGGAAUUGCCUUUAAGACUGCAUCGCUUGAAUCAUGGAGAGGUGAGUGGAAUUCCGAGUGUAGAGGUGAAAUUCGUAGAUAUUCGGAAGAACACCAGUGGCGAAGGCGACUCACUGGACAGGUAUUGACGCUGAGGUGCGAAAGCGUGGGGAGCAAACAGG